ensembl:lncRNA
CACAUUCAACAGUGUCGAGUAAUACAGGUCAAUCCAAUAGAUCUAAUGAUUUUCACACUCUUUUAAGUCAGAAGUAUAAUGCAAACUAAAAAUACAUACUGAUCACACACUCUAUAUUAAGGGGUAUGUUAUGAGAUUCUAUGUUUUUAUGUGUUUUAUUCUUUGUUUUAUUAUCUUUUAAUAUUCAAGCAUAUUGUAAAGUGUUUAUAUAUUUCACAGAAUUUGCUGUACUUCCCCAUGUCACAAGAUUCGAUGUAUUGCUCCAUUGUCAUGCAACCCGACAGUGAACUCUGCAAUACAUAUAGUUUAAGCAGGAAACAGAUGCGGGUCACCCAGACUACAAUAGAAAACGGAUGAGGCACCUAAACCACAACAGGAAAACAGAUGCGCGACUCCCUAACCACAAAAGAUUAAGUCAGCGCCACGUCUUUUAGAAAGAAGCAGACACACACACACAUAUACAACUGUUGGUUUAAAGGAAUUUGUAAAGAGGAAAUGUGACGUAUUUGCAUACGCGAUGUAACCUAUAAAUAAAGAACUGUGCCUGCACUCAGGGUGUGGGUCUCGCCAGAGUCCUCACCCGUGCGUGAGUCUCGUCAGAGUGCUCACCCGUGCACGUUAAUGUUAUUACAUUCUAACUGUUUGAGUGUCUUUAUUCAGCCUGAAGAAUGUCUUAUUGAAAAUAAACUCUUGACAUUUAAUUGGUCCUUCGAGCCCGGAUUUUGGACAUCGAAUUAUGCUCCAACAGAGUGACCUCGUCGUUUCCUGACAUCGUGGAGAGCCCGCGCUGAAGUCUGUCGACAGCCUCUUUCCUAUGAAGGAGAAAAGACCAACUACGUGAAUUCGGGGUUGGCCAGCGUUCUUAGUAAGAGGUCCACGAUCCUGGGGAACGAGGAGGAAUCUCUGACCGGCACUUAUAUCAUCAUAACCAGGUGAAUAUUAACACUCAAAGACACAUCGCGAAUAAUCGUCUUUUAGAUUGACACUUUUCUAAGGGAAAAACUCGUCCUGUAGGGACUGGCAGUUUAAAAAAAAAAAAGACUCGCUUGUAAGACGAAACUGGCAGUCCAGAAGAGACUCGUUUCGCAAUAAAAAAAAGCUGCUGGUAGUCGACAAAAUUUACUCCGGGAGUAAAUGGGAAAAGGAAAGUGUCAAUUAAAAUAGGAUUACACUACCGCGUAUGUGAAUUGUUUGUAUUUAAAAAGAGGAAGUGAGUGUCAUUUGAAGAGGGACAGUAGGACCCUACACCACUUCUAUUGUUUUCCUGUGUCGACUGAAAUACUGGUGAGGAAGGGAAAAGGUUGCGCUUCAUCGCAUAAAAUUAAGGCCACCCUUGACAUUAGGACAAGGGUAGAAGGCUGCCUUAAUAACCUCCCCUAACUCUAAUACCAGAGAAGGUCACACAGUUCUGUUUGUAGUAUUAAUAACACAAAAUCAAAAUGGGAAAUAAAACAACAAAACUCACUGCUGACGAGCAGUGGCUAGAAAAGAAAUGUCCAGGCGCCGGACAAAUUAGUGCAUAUAGAUGGAGAAAUCCAAAGAAAACCUAAAUGUCCCACGUGGGAGGGAAAAUGCAUUAACUAAAUUAUAAGAAACCUUCCAAGCAGAAAUAAAUACUGAAAAGGAAGCUAAAAAGAAAUCAAAACAUACACAAGAGUUGUAAUAUUUUAAAGCAUGGAAAGAGGAAUGAAGUGGAAUAAACAAAAGGUUAAAUUAAGGUUAACUUAAAUUAAAGCAAUGAAACAAAAUUGGGAAGACAACCAAGCUGAAUGAAUAGAAUGCGUGAAACCAGAUAAUUCACACAAAAUAUAUCAAAUAAAAAGAGGGAUGCAUAAG